rnacentral:piRNA from 1 species
UGGGAGAUAGUGCUCGAGGCAAUGGCCCCC